AGCGAACGCUGGCGGCAGGCCUAACACAUGCAAGUCGAACGAACUCUUCGGAGUUAGUGGCGGACGGGUGAGUAACACGUGGGAACGUGCCUUUUGGUUCGGAAUAACUCAGGGAAACUUGUGCUAAUACCGAAUGUGCCCUUCGGGGGAAAGAUUUAUCGCCAUUAGAGCGGCCCGCGUCUGAUUAGCUAGUUGGAGAGGUAACGGCUCACCAAGGCGACGAUCAGUAGCUGGUCUGAGAGGAUGACCAGCCACACUGGGACUGAGACACGGCCCAGACUCCUACGGGAGGCAGCAGUGGGGAAUCUUGCGCAAUGGGCGAAAGCCUGACGCAGCCAUGCCGCGUGAAUGAUGAAGGUCUUAGGAUUGUAAAAUUCUUUCACCGGGGACGAUAAUGACGGUACCCGGAGAAGAAGCCCCGGCUAACUUCGUG
rnacentral:rRNA from 1 species